GAUGAACGCUAGCGGCAGGCUUAACACAUGCAGGUCGAGGGGUAGAAGUUGCUUGCAACUUUGAGACCGGCGCACGGGUGCGUAACGCGUAUGCAAUCUACCUUAUACAGAGGGAUAGCCCAGAGAAAUUUGGAUUAAUACCUCAUAGUAUAAUUGAAUGGCAUCAUUUAAUUAUUAAAGUUCCAACGGUAUAAGAUGAGCAUGCGUCCUAUUAGCUAGAUGGUAAGGUAACGGCUUACCAUGGCAACGAUAGGUAGGGGUCCUGAGAGGGAGAUCCCCCACACUGGUACUGAGACACGGACCAGACUCCUACGGGAGGCAGCAGUGAGGAAUAUUGGACAAUGGGCGCAAGCCUGAUCCAGCCAUGCCGCGUGCAGGAAGAAGCAUCUAUGGUGUGUAAACUGCUUUCGUACGGGAAGAAACACCCCUUCGUGAAGGGACUUGGCGGUACCGUAAGAAUAAGGAUCGGCUAACUCCGUGCCAGCAGCCGCAGUAACAC
rnacentral:rRNA from 1 species